GGACUACCCGGGUAUCUAAUCCCGUUCGCUCCCCUAGCCUUCGCGCCUCAGCGUCAGGUACGGCCCAGGGGGCCGCCUUCGCCACGGGUGUUCCUGCUGAUCUCUACGCAUUUCACCGCUACACCAGCAAUUCCACCCCCCUCUACCGACCUCUAGCUGUGUAGUCUAAAGUGCACCCUCCCCGUUGAGCAGGGAGAUUUCACACCUUACUUACACUGCCGCCUGCGCGCGCUUUACGCCCAGUAAAUCCGGACAACGCUUGCAUCCUACGUAUUACCGCGGCUGCUGGCAC
rnacentral:rRNA from 1 species